rnacentral:rRNA from 1 species
CCAGACUCCUACGGGAGGCAGCAGUGGGGGAUAUUGCACAAUGGGGGGAACCCUGAUGCAGCGACGCCGCGUGGGUGAAGGAGUGCUUCGGCAUGUAAAGCCCUAUCGGCAGGGAAGAAGCAAGACGGUACCUGACUAAGAAGCCCCGGCUAACUGCGUGCCAGCAGCCGCGGUAAUACGUAGGGGGCGAGCGUUAUCCGGAUUCACUGGGUGUAAAGGGAGCGUAGACGGCCAUGCAAGCCUGGAGUGAAAGCCCGGGGCCCAACCCCGGGACUGCUCUGGGAACUGUGCGGCUGGAGUGUCGGAGAGGCAGGCGGAAUUCCUAGUGUAGCGGUGAAAUGCGUAGAUAUUAGGAGGAACACCAGUGGCGAAGGCGGCCUGCUGGGCUUUUACUGACGCUGAGGCUCGAAAGUGUGGGGAGCAAACAGGAUUAGAUACCCGCGUAC